GACGAACGCUGGCGGCGUGCUUAACACAUGCAAGUCGAACGGUGAAGCGCCUUCCUUUUUGGUGGGUGUGGUUGAGUGGCGAACGGGUGAGUAAAACGUGAGUAACCUGCCCCCUUCUUCUGGAUAACCGCAUGAAAGUGUGGCUAAUAUGGGAUAUUCUGGGUCUGUCGCAUGAUGGGUCUGGGAAAGUUAUUGUUUCGGUGGGGGAUGGGCUCGCGGCCUAUCAGCUUGUUGGUGGGGUGAUGGCCUACCAAGGCGGUGACGGGUAGCCGGCCUGAGAGGGUGGACGGUCACACAGGGACUGAGACACGGCCCAGACUCCUACGGGAGGCAGAGGUGGGGAAUAGUGCACGAUGGGCGCAAGCCUGAUGCAGCGACGCCGCGUGAGGGAUGGAGGCCUUCGGGUUGUGAACCUCUUUCGCCAGUGAAGCGGGCCUGCCUCGUUUGUGGGUGGGUUGACGGUAGCUGGAUAAGAAGCGCCGGCUAACUACGUG
rnacentral:rRNA from 1 species